ensembl:lncRNA
AAAAGAUUUCUCUGCCUUUGCCCAGGACUUGCCUGGACUUGUUCCUUAGCAAACUUUGAGUCAAUGAUUUAAAAGAAUAAUCUCUUACAACCAUCCAUGAAGUAUUACAAGGCCUGCAAACUGUCAGACUGUUGCACCUUUACACAAUUCCGUCAUGGUUCCUCUGCUGCCCUCUGUUGCAUGGAGACAAAAUGUAACAGAAUACUAUUGGGAAGAUUCAACCUUGACUGUCAUACCACCAGCAUCUGCCAUUAACUCUGUGGGCCAAUAUAAUAAAAUAGGAGGCAUUACUUUCAGAGAAGCCAACAGCAACAGCUACACAGUCCUUAUCAGGAUAAAUAAAAACUUUAAAAUGUGGCCUCCAUGCCAGCUACAUAUAACUACCUUCUUGCCUGGAAAUCGGUGUACCUGAAGAAAAGGAAUACUGAAAGAAGGAAGUUUCACUCUGCAUCAUCUGCUAAAAGGAGGCAGUCACAUAUUUCUAAACUGGGGGAAAAGUAUUUAAAAGAGGCUGGAAUAGCUGACAGAAUGGUACCCCAGGAGCUCUCCAGAAGUUGCACAAUCAGGAGCUGGAUAUUAUCCGCAAGAGCUAGACAAUGUAUUGCCCCAGAAGCUUCUUCGUCUUGACUGUUUGCUUUAUUACCACAUCCCUCGGUAAUCGACAAAGCAACAUCCACAAAUGCUUUGAAAGUGUGCAGUGGAGUGAACUUUUAAAUGAGAUUGAGAAACUUAACAAUAGAAGCUAUUCUUUGGAGUGUGAUGAAGUGAGCAACGAAGAAUUGUGCUUCCCUGAGAAAAUGCUAAAAGCAGUUAAACAUGAUCACGCAGCCAUUGUUCAUAUAGUACAUGAAAUUGCUGAGUUUUUCAAGAGAACAGAUGCACCUUUUCAAAAUAAGAACAUUUUUCUAAGAGAAAUAUAUGAAGCUCAUGCCCAACUCAAGACUUGUCUGAAGCCCAAACUUAACGUCAUUCAUGAGUCUAUAGUGAAAGAGUGCUUCCAAAAAAUGGAUACAUUUGUGUCCAAGACAAAUGAUCAGUGCACUUGGCAAGAGAUCCAUGCACAAUCAAGAGAGCUACUUCAAAGAAUUGAAAACUACUCUUUCAGGAGAAGAUCAACACAUUAAGAAUGUCAGUUCUAAUCAAAUAUUUUGAGGAUGUAUUGUCACAUCAAGAUAAAUUAUGUUAUUUUUUAAAAAAUUAAAGGAAGCAGUAUACACAUAGUUCCUAUUUAAAGAUAUAAGUUACUUAACUUAUUUUUGUUAAGAUAGUUUUGUCAAGAUAUUUUUUCUAACCAACUUAUAAUAACUUUAGUCUUAAUAAAAAGGAUGCAAGAAAGCAU